AUUGAACGCUGGCGGCAUGCCUCACACAUGCAAGUCGAACGGUAACAGGUCUUCGGAUGCUGACGAGUGGCGAACGGGUGAGUAAUACAUCGGAACGCGCCUAGUAGUGGGGGAUAACUACUCGAAAGAGUGGCUAAUACCGCAUGAGAUCUACGGAUGAAAGCAGGGGAUCGCAAGGCCUUGUGCUACUAGAGCGGCCGAUGGCAGAUGAGGUAGUUGGUGGGAUAAAAGCUUACCAAGCCGACGAUCUGUAGCUGGUCUGAGAGGACGAUCAGCCACACCGGGACUGAGACACGGCCCAGACUCCUACGGGAGGCAGCAGUGGGGAAUUUUGGACAAUGGGCGCAAGCCUGAUCCAGCAAUGCCGCGUGCAGGAUGAAGGCCUUCGGGUUGUAAACUGCUUUUGUACGGAACGAAAAGCCCCGGGUUAAUACCCUGGGGUCACGACGGUACCGUAAGAAUAAGCACCGGCUAACUACGUGCCAGCAGCCGCGGUAA
rnacentral:rRNA from 1 species